CGGACGGGUGAGUAACGCGUGGGUAACCUGCCUUACACAGGGGGAUAACACCUGGAAACAGGUGCUAAUACCGCAUAAGCGCACAGCUUCGCAUGAAGCGGUGUGAAAAACUCUGGUGGUAUACGAUGGUUCCGCGUCUGAUUAGCUAGUUGGUGGGGUAAUGGCCUACCAAGGCAACGAUCAGUAGCCGGCCUGAGAGGGUGAACGGCCACAUUGGGACUGAGACACGGCCCAAACUCCUACGGAAGGCAGCAG
rnacentral:rRNA from 1 species